AUGCGAGGGCGCUACGAGGCUGGUCCGGCUGCUGCGAGCCCACUGCAAGGCUGCGACAACAACCCAGCGAUGCUGCAACGGGAUCUCAGCUGCGGCAGUGGCUCAGACCGCUCCGGCGAUGCUGCGGCGGCGCCGCCGUGCUGCAACGACAUCUCAGUGAUGGCGGCUGAACUGCUGCGAACGGUGGCUCGGGCUGCUCCGGCGAUGCUGCGAUGGCGUUGUCAUGGUGUGAGCCAGUGCUGCGCCGGCAGCUCAACUGCUGCAAUGGUGUUUUCGGGCUGCUCUGGUGAUGCUCCGACAAUGCCGUCGUGCCAGUGCUACGACAGUCAUCGACAAGCUAUGAGUGGGUGCUGCGACGGCGCCGCCGUGCUGCAAGGCAGACGGAGUUGCUAUGACGGGUGA
rnacentral:rRNA from 1 species